AUUGAACGCUGGCGGCAUGCUUUACACAUGCAAGCCGAACGGUAGAGGGGGCAACCCCUUGAGAGUGGCGAACGGGUGAGUAAUGCAUCGGAACGUGCCCAGUCGUGGGGGAUAACGCAGCGAAAGCUGUGCUAAUACCGCAUACGAUCUCUGGAUGAAAGCGGGGGACCGAAAGGCCUCGCGCGAUUGGAGCGGCCGAUGUCAGAUUAGGUAGUUGGUGGGGUAAAGGCUCACCAAGCCAACGAUCUGUAGCUGGUCUGAGAGGACGACCAGCCACACUGGGACUGAGACACGGCCCAGACUCCUACGGGAGGCAGCAGUGGGGAAUUUUGGACAAUGGGCGCAAGCCUGAUCCAGCAAUGCCGCGUGCAGGAAGAAGGCCUUCGGGUUGUAAACUGCUUUUGUACGGAACGAAAAGGUCUGGGUUAAUACCCUGGGCACAUGACGGUACCGUAAGAAUAAGCACCGGCUAACUACGUGCCAGCAGCCGCCGCGG
rnacentral:rRNA from 1 species